rnacentral:misc_RNA from 1 species
UAAUAAGUGUUUUAUGGCACUUUUUAAAUCCAUAUCCACCUUGUGUGCAAUGUCAGUCGAUCUUCUUCAUGGAGAUCGACCAAACAUCAACCUUUAUCUUUUAACUCUUUGUCUUAAAAAUAUUAUGAAUAAACAAUUCAAAGUA